GAUGAACGCUGGCGGCGUGCCUAAUACAUGCAAGUCGAGCGAACAGACGAGGAGCUUGCUCCUCUGACGUUAGCGGCGGACGGGUGAGUAACACGUGGAUAACCUACCUAUAAGACUGGGAUAACUUCGGGAAACCGGAGCUAAUACCGGAUAAUAUAUUGAACCGCAUGGUUCAAUAGUGAAAGGCGGUUUUGCUGUCACUUAUAGAUGGAUCCGCGCCGCAUUAGCUAGUUGGUAAGGUAACGGCUUACCAAGGCAACGAUGCGUAGCCGACCCGAGAGGGUGAUCGGCCACACUGGAACUGAGACACGGUCCAGACUCCUACGGGAGGCAGCAGUAGGGAAUCUUCCGCAAUGGGCGAAAGCCUGACGGAGCAACGCCGCGUGAGUGAUGAAGGUCUUCGGAUCGUAAAACUCUGUUAUUAGGGAAGAACAAAUGUGUAAGUAACUAUGCACGUCUUGACGGUACCUAAUCAGAAAGCCACGGCUAACUACGUG
rnacentral:rRNA from 1 species